CACACAGUGUGCUGUAGUGGUUAGAGCACUGGACUAUAACUCUUGAGACCAGGGUUCAAACCUCUGCUUGGCCG
rnacentral:tRNA from 1 species